UUCAUGGCUUCUGAAGUUCAGCAAGUGCUCAACAGGGACUCAUGGAAUAGUUCUACUAGAAGUGACUGUAAAGAGUUAUUCAUUCAUUCAACAAAUGCCUAUGAAGCACCUGAGUUUUGUAUUUUGCAGGUGAUGUCGAAUAGGACAAUGGAACAUGUUAGGUUUUUUGACUGGGAAGAGAAGAGAUCAAAGCUCAAUUGGAGAAGGUUUUAUUGUAGCCAUGUGCAUGCAGGCUGAAGCCUAAGAGUGGCAACAGCCCUGAACAAAGUUUCAGUGCAUCUGCCCACAGAUUAUUUAUCAAUUAUGGAAGAGAAAGAUAAUUUUAUGGUAGAGAAACCUGGCAGACAACAUCUUAACCAAUUGAUCAAAAUAAAUGGCACCUGUAUCACAGCAAAUUGACAUCAUAUGCCUCUUGAUGUGGUGAACUGAGAAGGACACAGGCUCACUCUUGUGGGUUUUCUACCAAAACCAAAAAUUCAUGCCCUGCAUAUAAUAAUGGGGAACAAGUUAAAAGCCUAAGUUGGCAGACAUUCCAUAAAACAACUGAACUGUACUCUUCAAAAAUGUCAAAGUCAUGAAAGACACACAAAAAGAGGCUGAAAGAACU